rnacentral:rRNA from 1 species
GAUGAACGCUGGCGGCGUGCCUAAUACAUGCAAGUCGAGCGAACGGACGAGAAGCUUGCUUUUCUGAUGUUAGCGGCGGACGGGUGAGUAACACGUGGAUAACCUACCUAUAAGACUGGGAUAACUUCGGGAAACCGGAGCUAAUACCGGAUAAUAUUUUGAACCGCAUGGUUCAAAAGUGAAAGACGGUCUUGCUGUCACUUAUAGAUGGAUCCGCGCUGCAUUAGCUAGUUGGUAAGGUAACGGCUUACCAAAGCAACGAUGCAUAGCCGACCUGAGAGGGUGAUCGGCCACACUGGAACUGAGACACGGUCCAGACUCCUACGGGAGGCAGCAGUAGGGAAUCUUCCGCAAUGGGCGAAAGCCUGACGGAGCAACGCCGCGUGAGUGAUGAAGGUCUUCGGAUCGUAAAACUCUGUUAUUAGGGAAGAACAUAUGUGUAAGUAACUGUGCACAUCUUGACGGUACCUAAUCAGAAAGCCACGGCUAACUACGUG